ACGACACAGUACCGUUUACGACACAGUCACUAGAGCAGCUGCCCUAGGAUUCCGAGCUUUAACCAGACGAAGGCAACCACAGUCCCUGCGGCUUCGCCAGCCAUACUCCGGCACUCAUUGUUGUUGGCAUUCCACAAUCAUCGCCAGUCGCAUUCGUCAUAAUCGAUGUCUUUAUCAGCAGCCUUAUUUUUCCGGCAGUGCUCAUUACUGGAGAACCGUUCCGGUAGCAACAAAGUGUAAAAAAAUGGUGGAAUAAUACUUGUCACCAAAAGCUCGCCGAGAGGAGGCGCUGCUUUACUAAAUGGCAUAUCACCAUCGCCAGUGGUCCAUUAGUCGACAUCGCACCUGGCAGGCAGAGCCAGUCGAAACAUUCUACAGGUUGCCUUGUGAUCCAUCAGCAAAUCCAAUAUGCAUCCGUUUACGACACAGUACCGUUGCACCACGGCGCAGCGCACUGUCACCAAGGUCCAAGCGAACAAGUCACUAUAGCAGCUGCCCUAGAAUUCCGAGCUUUAACCAGACGAAGGCAACCACAGUCCCUGCGGCAUCGCCAGCCAUACUCAGGCACUCAUUGUUGGCAUUCCAAAGAACCGUUCCGGUAGCAACAAAAUGUAAAAAAAUGGUGGAAUAAUACUUGCUCGCCGAGAGGAGGCGCGGCUUUACGAAACAUUCUACAAGUUGCCUUGUAAUCCAUCAGCAGUCCAGUAUGCAUCCGUUUACGUUGCACACUGUAGUAACGUUGCAUAUCGAUGCAGCGCACUGUCGCCAAGGUCCAAGCGAACAAGCCACUAGAGCAACUGCUUCAACGGUGCUCACUCCAAGUUAUCCAUUUCUUCAGUAGCAACCCAUUAAUAUUAUUCGGAACCAAGUUCAAACUCAACCGAUCGUUGAGCAACUGCAAUUCACGAAAAUCAACCAACAGCACCUGCAAAUGAUUCGCGUGUUCAGGCUGUAAUUUCCAAUGCUCAAAAAAUUACAACCGGGCGGGAACUGCCACACGAGUGCUCUCAUCAACCGAAUAAUAAAUACGAAUCACUGCCAGUUCAGUCAUGUUACUACUGCAACAAUUCAGCAAGUUCGCGGACGACUACGGUUCUACGGCGUCAGAACAUUGUCACUUCAACAGCAGUCAGCGUCAGUGUACCGCCGGAUCAACAUAACGAUGAUUUUACAGAAACCCUUUACCAUCUUGUGCAUGGCUGUCGGUGGUACCUCCACAGACGAUCAACAACGCUGGCGGAGUAACCGUCAGUCAACCAUGGACUUUUACUCUCGUCAAAACUAGUCAUGGAGCAACAAUUCCAACCCUGCCGAACGUACUGCAGAAGGGAACCAUCCAACAAUCAUACCAGAUUGGCACGACCAACAUUAAUGGAAGUGACGUACUAUUCAGCAAACGACUGCCGGUAGGCAGAAAAUUGACGUUAUGAGAGGCAACGUUGUUAAACAUAUGGCGUCGACCAGAGAGGUAGCAAAAAGAUCCAUGUGAAAAACACGAACAUCAUUCAGAUAGAUAAUAAGUUGUCAUAAAUAUUGUUCUUGAACCCUCUUUGGUUAUUAUAAACAAGGCUGGGCAGCAAGUCCGGGCCGGGAUUUUCAGGUUAUCGUGUUAUCGACUCAUCAGGGUACUCAUAUUGUCAGUGGAACCAUUACGCCGUCAGCAAAUAUUAUGUUUCGCUUAUCAAAUGAACAAAACGAUUAAGCGGCCACAGUCGCUGCGGCAUCGCCAGCCAUACUCCGGCACAACAUGUGUUGCUAUGGCCAAGCCAAGCAUAUUAAAGCAGUGCUUACUCCGAAUUCUCCAAUUUCUCAGCAGCAAUUCAUUCAUAUUAUAUAGACUUGAGUACAAACAAGCUCAACCGAUCGUUAAGCAACAGCAGUUUGCGUGGUCAGUUUCCCGUGGUAGAAGAUUGUUUUACAGAAGCUCUUUACCAUCUUAUUUGUGGCUGUCGGUGGUACCUCCACAGACAAUCAACAACGCUGGUGGAGUUACCGUCAAGCGGUUAAAUUAAGGACGUACUUGGCAUCCCAGCCUAAAAUGACCUAAAAAUAACAAUCAUAAAAUAAGCAAUUGGCUACCCAGCAGUCAGUGGGUAAUGUUAGUAUUGAAAAUGGUCUACGGCGUCAGGAGGUAGAAUAUAGUCAUUUCAAGUGGGACUAUCGGUGGUACUUCUACAGGACCGAUCAACAACGUUGACUGAGUGACAAUGAGGCUUUUACUCUCGUCAAAACUAGAGUCCCACUUUAGUCAAAACCUGACCUGACCCUGAUAAAAAUAAACGUACUGUGGAAGGGAACGGAGGCACGUACCAUUCUACAAUCACAGCAACAUGUCACGACCAACAUUAUUGGAAGUGACGUUCUAUUCAGUUAAUGACUAUCAUAAGGCAGAAAAGGCAACGGUUAUAAGAGGCAACGUUGUCAAAUUAGUAUCGUUCACCCGAUAUUUAGCAAACGGAUCUUGAUUUAAAAACCAAAUUAUGGUUAAAUUGCCAGUGGCCACAAAUAUUGCUGGUUUAUUGACGUAGGUUAUUAUUAGCAAGUCAUCGUGUUAACGACUCCCCAGGCUAUUCAUACCGUUAGUGGAACAGAUAUGCCAUCAGCGAAUAAUUCAGUUGCAUUAUUUACUUCUCAGGUAUUUUAAUGUCGUUGUUGACAUAAUGGGCAAUAAAGGAUCACGAAUAUGUUUUAAUUCCAGACAAUCAAGGCUAUUAAACAUUGUACUGAAUAAAGAAAACCAAUCAAUUUUACGAUUCCGGUUGGAGGAUUUUUUAUAACAAUUCUGCUAUUAGAUAGUG